rnacentral:rRNA from 1 species
AUCUGGGGAUCUGAGACUCGAUUCAGGCCCUACGGGGCGCAGCAGGCGCGAAAACUUUACAAUGCAGGAAACUGUGAUAAGGGAACCCCGAGUGCCCGUAUAUGCGGGCUGUCCGGAUGUUUAAAACGCAUCCGAAGAAAGGGCCGGGCAAGACCGGUGCCAGCCGCCGCGGUAAUACCGGCGGCUCGAGUGGUGGCCACUUUUAUUGGGCUUAAAGCGUUCGUAGCUUGAAUAAUAAGUCUCUUGGGAAAUCUGCAGGCUUAACCUGCAGGCGUUUAAGAGAAACUGUUGUUCUAGGAACCGGAAGAGGUGAGAGGUACUCCGGGGGUAGGAGUGAAAUCCUGUAAUCCCCGGGGGACCACCGAUGGCGAAGGCAUCUCACCAGGACGGCUUCGACAGUGAGGAACGAAAGCUGGGGGAGCGAACCGGAUUAGAUACCCGGGUAGUCCCAGCCGUAAACAAUGCGCGUUAGGUGA